rnacentral:misc_RNA from 1 species
GAAAUGCGAUAAGUAGUGUGAAUUGCAGAAUUUAGUGAAUCAUCGAAUCUUUGAACGCACAUUGCGCCCCCUGGUAUUCCAAGGGGCAUGCCUGUUCGAGCGUCAUUUUAAUUCUCAAGCUCUGCUUGGUGUUGGGCUCCUGUCCUGCGUAAGUUUGGACUUGCCCUAAAGAUAUUGGCAGCAGUUGUGUUUGCUUCUUGCGUAGCAGUUUUGCGCUCUUGAAGUGGGCAGGCAGCAUUCCAUUAAGUUAUUACCCCAGUUUGACCUCGGAUCAGGUAGGGAUACCCGCUGAACUUAA